UUUCCGUAGGUGGACCUGCGGAAGGAUCAUUAAUGAGUUGUCAUGGGGUUCGAUGCUGGCAGCCAGUUUUUGGAUGCAUGUGCUUGCCCUAACAAUCAUCUUCUUCCAAACACCUGUGCACAUUUUUGAGGGAGUCUUGAGUUGGUUGCCGCUCUUGGGUGAUUUUCUCACAUUCCCUUAAAUCAUUAUACGCUAUUAACAAUGUUGAACGUGCUCUGUGCCGCAAGGCCAUUAAUAUAAUACAACUUUUAACAACGGAUCUCUUGGCUCUCGCAUCGAUGAAAACGCAGC
rnacentral:misc_RNA from 1 species